rnacentral:rRNA from 1 species
AGCGAACGCUGGCGGCAGGCCUAACACAUGCAAGUCGAACGAACUCUUCGGAGUUAGUGGCGGACGGGUGAGUAACACGUGGGAACGUGCCUUUUGGUUCGGAAUAACUCAGGGAAACUUGUGCUAAUACCGAAUGUGCCCUUCGGGGGAAAGAUUUAUCGCCAUUAGAGCGGCCCGCGUCUGAUUAGCUAGUUGGUGAGGUAACGGCUCACCAAGGCGACGAUCAGUAGCUGGUCUGAGAGGAUGACCAGCCACACUGGGACUGAGACACGGCCCAGACCCCUACGGGGGGCAGGAGGGGGGAAUCUUGCGAAAGGGGCGAAAGCCUGACGCCGCCAUGCCGGGUGAAUGAUGAAGGUUUUAGGAUUGUAAAAUUCUUUCCCCGGGGAAGAUAAGGACGGUACCCGGAGAAAAAGCCCCGGCUAACUUCGG